rnacentral:rRNA from 1 species
UCUUCGGCAAUGGACGGAAGUCUGACCGAGCAACGCCGCGUGAGUGAAGAAGGUUUUCGGAUCGUAAAACUCUGUUGCCAGAGAAGAAAGCUAAGGAGAGUCACUGCUCUUUGGUUGACGGUAUCUGAGAAGAAAGCCCCGGCUAACUACGUGCCAGCAGCCGCGGUAAUACGUAGGGGGCAAGCGUUGUCCGGAAUUAUUGGGCGUAAAGCGCGCGCAGGCGGCUGAGUAAGUCUGGUGUUUAAACCUGGGGCUCAACCUCGGGUCGCAUUGGAAACUGCUUGGCUGGAGUGCAGGAGAGGAAAGUGGAAUUCCACGUGUAGCGGUGAAAUGCGUAGAGAUGUGGAGGAACACCAGUGGCGAAGGCGACUUUCUGGCCUGUAACUGACGCUAAGGCGCGAAAGCGUGGGGAGCAAACAGG